rnacentral:rRNA from 1 species
AUUGAAACCUAGUGAUGUAUGAGUUAGUGGCGGACGGGUGAGUAACGCGUGGAGAACCUGCCGUAUACUGGGGGAUAACACUUAGAAAUAGGUGCUAAUACCGCAUAAGCGCACAGCUUCGCAUGAAGCAGUGUGGAAAACAAAAAGCUAAAGCUUUUGGUGGUAUACGAUGGAUCCGCGUCUGAUUAGCUGGUUGGCGGGGUAAAGGCCCACCAAGGCGACGAUCAGUAGCCGGCCUGAGAGGGUGAACGGCCACAUUGGGACUGAGACACGGCCCAAACUCCUACGGGAGGCAGCAGUGGGGAAUAUUGCACAAUGGGGGAAACCCUGAUGCAGCGACGCCGCGUGAGUGAAGAAGUAUUUCGGUGUGUAAAGCUCUAUCAGCAGGGAAGAAAAUGACGGUACCUGACUAAGAAGCCCCGGCUAACUACGUGCCAGCAGCCGCGGUAAUACGUAGGGGGCAAGCGUUAUCCGGAUUUACUGGGUGUAAAGGGAGCGUAGACGGCAGCGCAAGUCUGGAGUGAAAUCCCAUGGCUUAACCAUGGAACUGCUUUGGAAACUGUGCAGCUGGAGUGCAGGAGAGGUAAGCGGAAUUCCUAGUGUAGCGGUGAAAUGCGUAGAUAUUAGGAGGAACACCAGUGGCGAAGGCGGCUUACUGGACUGUAACUGACGUUGAGGCUCGAAAGCGUGGGGAGCAAACAGGAUUAGAUACCCUGGUAGUCCACGCUGUAAACGAUGAUUACUAGGUGUUGGGGGACCAAGGUCCUUCGGUGCCGGCGCAAACGCA